rnacentral:rRNA from 1 species
CAACAGCUCAAAUUUGAAAUCUGGCCCCCUAGGGGGUCCGAGUUGUAAUUUGCAGAGGGUGCUUUGGCGUUGGCAGCGGUCUAAGUUCCUUGGAACAGGACGUCACAGAGGGUGAGAAUCCCGUACGUGGUCGCCAGCCUCCGCCGUGUAAAGCCCCUUCGACGAGUCGAGUUGUUUGGGAAUGCAGCUCUAAAUGGGAGGUAAAUUUCUUCUAAAGCUAAAUACUGGCCAGAGACCGAUAGCGCACAAGUAGAGUGAUCGAAAGAUGAAAAGCACUUUGGAAAGAGAGUCAAAAAGCACGUGAAAUUGUUGAAAGGGAAGCGCUUGCAGCCAGACUUGCCUGUAGUUGCUCAGCCGGGCUCCGGCCCGGUGCACUCUUCUGCGGGCAGGCCAGCAUCAGUUCGGGCGGCCGGAUAAAGACCUCUGUCACGUACCUCCCUCCGGGGAGGACUUAUAGGGGAGGUGAAAUGCGGCCAGUCCGGACUGAGGUCCGCGCAUCUGCUAGGAUGCUGGCGUAAUGGCUGUAAGCGGCCCGUCUUGAAACACGGACCAAGGAGUCUAACAUCUAUGCGAGUGUUUGGGUGUCAAGCCCGAGCGCGUAAUGAAAGUGAACGGAGGUGGGAACCCCUCGGGGUGCACCAUCGACCGAUCCUGAUGUCUUCGGAUGGAUUUGAGUAAGAGCAUAGCUGUUGGGACCCGAAAGAUGGUGAACUAUGCUUGAAUAGGGUGAAGCCAGAGGAAACUCUGGUGGAGGCUCGCAGCGGUUCUGACGUGCAAAUCGAUCGUCAAAUUUGGGCAUAGGGGCGAAA